UACGGAGGGAGCUAGCGUUGUUCGGAUUUACUGGGCGUAAAGCGCACGUAGGCGGCAUAGUAAGUCAGGGGUGAAAUCCCGGAGCUCAACUCCGGAACUGCCCUUGAAACUGCUAAGCUAGAAUCUUGGAGAGGCGAGUGGAAUUCCGAGUGUAGAGGUGAAAUUCGUAGAUAUUCGGAAGAACACCAGUGGCGAAGGCGACUCGCUGGACAAGUAUUGACGCUGAGGUGCGAAAGCGUGGGAGCAAACAGG
rnacentral:rRNA from 1 species